AUUGAACGCUGGCGGCAGGCCUAACACAUGCAAGUCGAGCGGAACGGCGGACGGGUGAGUAAUACCUAGGAAUCUGCCUGGGAGGGGGGGAUAACGAUCGGAACCGGACGCGAAUACCGCAUACUCUCAGAUGAGCCUAGGUCGGAUUAGCUAGUUGGUGAGGUAAUGGCUCACCAAGGCUACGAUCCGUAACUGGUCUGAGAGGAUGAUCAGUCACACUGGAACUUAGACACGGUCCAGACUCCUACGGGAGGCAGCAGUGGGGAAUAUUGGACAAUGGGCGAAAGCCUGAUCCAGCCAUGCCGCGUGUGUGAAGAAGGUCUUCGGAUUGUAAAGCACUUUAAGUUGGGAGGCGUUACCGACAGAAUAAGCACCGGCUAACUACGUGCCAGCAGCCGCGGUAAUAC
rnacentral:rRNA from 1 species